CUGGCUGAAAUACAGAGGAAGAGCACCUUUAUCUGCUCUGAACACUGCAGAGCCUGUCAGACAAACUGAACACCCCCCUGUGAGAUAGGCUUGAGCCGCAAAGACACUUAUUUACACUUACAUGUUCUUGUUUAGCAGACGCUUUUAUCCAAUGUGACUAAAACAAGCAGAAGCAGUUAAUCCGAAGGAGAAAACAAUAAUGCUACUGUACUAAAUUAACCUUACUUCAUGUAAACAAACCUGUUUGUUUCUUUAAAUAAACUACCUAUUUUCUUAAAAGAAGUUCACCCAAAAAUAUAAUUUUUUUCAGUUGACAUGUUGACACUGCCCUUUUCAAUACAAUGAAAGUGAAUGAUGACCAGGGGCUGUCAAGCUCCAAAAAACACCAGAAAAGUAGUCCAUAUGACUCAUGUGCUAUAUUCCACAUCUUUUUAAGCCAUAUGAUAGCUUUGUUUGAGGAACAGACCAAAAUUAAGUUAUUAACUGCUAUUUUCUCUGCUGGCAUAAAUCAUGACAGAAUAUUAAUUUUUUGGGUGAACUAUUUCUUUAAAUUUUAAAAUACACAGACAUUCACUCUGAACUAUAAGCAUGCUAAGCUUUAGGCCUAUAUCUGCUCAAACUGCUCUCUUCACAGUAACAUCAUUAAUAACAGCACAGCAACAUCCGGAAUGGAGACUACAUCAAAACAGCCAUUUGGAGAAGGGUUUGAAAUUCCAGGUGGAUGCUGCACACUGGUGGUGGUUGAAGAGAGUCAUAUGUUCUCUAUCAGGGAAGUGAAUGAAGGACAGCCACUUACCCUGAGGAUCUCUCUGCUGAUGUAGGCGGUCCAGUCCUCCCUCAGUGAGUUGCCCUUGGUGUUCUUGAUCAAGUCCGUCACUGAGCCUGCGCCGCAGAACUCCAUCACC